rnacentral:lncRNA from 1 species
AUGGAGGACAUCAUAAGAGGCACCCUUCCCCAUCUGGAUAGUAAGACUGUGGAGACUAUAGUUAAAGAUUUGCCCUCAUUGGGAGUAAGGGAGAUUAACAAAUUUAUGUACAUGAAAGAGGAUGACAUCAGACAUCUUAUGUCCAUAGUUGAUUGCAGAAAACUACUACAAAGAUUCAACAACAUAGAUAAUGGAGCCCAACAGAACAAUCUGCUAAGGGACUCUGCUGCGUCUGACAUGAUAACACUGACUCUUACACCAAUGUCUUCAUUAGAAGCCUCUUCAAGCACACAGUUUGCACUACCAGCUCAGCACUCUACCCCUGUGCAGCACAGCACCUCGCACCCAACUUUCCAAGUACCUUGGGACAAGACCAGACCAAGUCUAAGAACAUUACUUGAACUGGACUUGGACACUUGGACACUUCACUUUGUGUUCACAAUUUUUGUGUUCAAAUUACAACCUGAACAGGAACAACACCCCCGCACGCCUAAGAAAACCAAAAAGGCCUGCUGUAAUGGUGGAGAAUAGCCAUCCAGCACCAUCCAGAAAAUGUGCAAAACUCUGAAAAAAAUUGAUGAUAAUCACAUAUGAGGCCAAGCAACGUGCCAUCGAUGCAUCACCUGCACCUAGCAUUAACCAACUAAAGACUGAUUGGCCUUUCCUGAAGAGUUCUUUCCUUGUUCAUGAAGAGAUUUCUGAUCCAGAAUUCCAGUACACUUACAGGCAUUGAAUUAGAAGCAAGACUCGGGGAGUCCAUCACUGGAAAGGAAGAAAGGUUCUCCAUUUCUUCAAGUCUCAAUUGCUGCGCUGGAGAAAAGAGGUGAGGACAGUCCUUGCAGACAUAGAAAGAGAAUCUAGAGAUGUGGAUCCUGGCCUUGCUGCCAUUUGGUGAUAAUGGCAUUCUUCAAAGAAAAAGAAGAUUCACUUUUCCUUCUGGCUGAUGUAAGUACAGUAAUUGUUUUAUGAUACUGUCAUAACAUACAGGUUUUUAGAUGUUUGAUUAGUUUGUUCUUUGUAAUUUACUGUUGGGAAAUUGAAACACUUUAAUCUAUUAGUUUAGAUUGCAAUAAAAAAAUUAGACUACAAUAACACAAUCUUAUUUUUGAGGGCCAAAGAUGUUAUUUUAACAUGAUGAAACAAUCUUUUUUAUAGGAAGAGUUCUUCUAAAAAUGAAAAUUGUUAUCAUUUACUUACCCUACAGUUGUUCCAAACUUGUAUGAAUUGCAUGUCCCCAUUAUUAAAAAAAUAAACAUGGCCAAAUAACUUGUUGUGCUCAGUGCUAGCUGUUAGCCACUCAUAGAUGCAAUCUUUGAAAUGGUGCACAAAACCGUUGUUAGCGAAUUCCUUUUGAGUAUUUCAUCCUUCAGUUAUUCCUCUUUUGUCUGCAAAAGAGCGCCUUGAAAGAGGCAGAUCGGCAACAAGAUAUGAUGUAGAGGAGCCGACGACAGCGGCUUGGAAAUUCCCAACUUAACGCUGGGCGCAGUGUUGCCAAAUUGGGCUACUUUAACAAUGUUGCUGCAGGUUGUUUUUCAUGUCUGCUAGUUGAAGCGACCUCAUUGACGUCAUAUUUAGCCCCUGGAAUGUGAAUUUUACCAGGAGAACCCCGCCAAAAAUGUGUAUUUUACUCCUGGAACGCGAUUUUAACGGGGGAAACCCAGAGUGCGAAUUACCCCACCAUGGCUUGGAAAUUCCCAACUUAACGCUGGGCGCAGUGUUGCCAAAUUGGGCUACUUUAACAAUGUUGCUGCAGGUUGUUUUUCAUGUCUGCUAGUUGAAGCGACCUCAUUGACGUCAUAUUUAGCCCCUGGAAUGUGAAUUUUACCAGGAGAACCCCGCCAAAAAUGUGUAUUUUACUCCUGGAACGCGAUUUUUAACGGGGGAAACCCAGAGUGCGAAUUACCCCACCAUAAUUGGGGGGUACUGCUCCUUCACUUCUUCUAUGACCAUCAUGGUCCACUACCAUAUCAAUCCCCACCGUGAUCACCAAGUGCAACAUGUGUUGUGCAACACACAUACAAGGUCUAAACAUGCGACAAACUGAUAAUCAGUAGGCUACAGAAUAUCUCAUUGUUAUUAUAUAUCCAAAAGAGAACUGUUUUGAUCAAGUCAAAAGUUAGAAGGGCACUGAAAUACCAUUCUAAUUACUAGUAAACGUAAUACCUUUACAAGAAGCCUAUAUUUCAUGAAAUAUUGAUUUGGUUUAUUUUUAGAUUUCAUAAGACCUGGAGGUAAGUCCCAACCCUCUCAUAUACUGUAUAAACAGAAAUCAAUUUUCCAUUAUAGUCUAUGGUAGUCAGUGUCAAAUCAACACAAUUACUUGGAGAUAUGUGAAACCUGAGCAAUCUUUAAUGUGAUUAAGGAGCAUACUAUGAAAAACAAUACUACCACAGAAGAACUACAUAGCAGUAACAUACAAGAAUCCGAUAACCUGUUAAUGUCAGAACAAGCUGGGUAUCAUCAACACUACAGUAGGCUACACAUGCACAAACACAGAUACACUACUUCCAGACAUUGUAUUUACAUUAUAUAUCACUAUAUUUCUAGACCUGUCCAAAUCUGACAUAAGUAUGUUAUGUAUGAGUAUGUGUAAAAGGUGUAUAUUGUAUUGUAUAUGUAUUUAUUGUGCUUGAAGUGCACUGAAAACUGAAAUAGUAAACGGCUAUGUAUUCCAACAGACACUGUUGUAAUAUAUGCAGUAAAGCAGGCUUGUUUUAAAAUACUGACCACAGAGGUCGGGGUUUUGCCUCUUUUCCCUUCCUCCCUGGCACCCAUGAUUUAGAAAAGCGAUGCCCUGCCGUUACCCAGGACAUCACAUAUGGAGCAGGGUUAAAGAUCUCCAAAUUAGGGCCAUUAAGGUCCACAAAAAGCAGAGAAGACAGACUCUUUGCACGGAGCUUGUUGCGCGUUUUUCUAUCUGUAUCAUUUACUGCCGAAAAUCCUCUCUCACAUUCAGCAGAGGUGGCCAAGUACGUGUUACUUGCAAUGCUACGUUUUUUCAGGGUACCUAGUUGACUAGUUAACUUUCUAAAGAAGGCGCAAUCGCUUCUCGGGUCGACAUUAACACACUUACAAAAUUAUAUUCAGAAUUUAAAAUAUUUUUAUACCACUUUUUAAUGUGUGAUUGUGUAAAGGUGUUCACGAGAUAGAGAUACCAACCUUUCGCGAACUUGCUUUCAACGUCGAACGAACACUCGUUCUCAUGGAGACGCGGUGUGCACGGAGGGGAGGGUGUGUGUGUGUGUGUGUGUGUGUGUGUGAGAGAGAGAGAGACGCAUGAGUGACAGAGAGACGGAGGGAGAGCAGGGAAAGGAAAUGCACUGGGCACGUCGCUGGACCCAGAGGGCGUGCUGUCAUGGGAACGUCAAAAUUUGAUUGGCUGAUGCUUCUGUCACUAAUGCUCGUUACACAUCCUUGAACAAAAGGGAAGCACUAUCUGUAGUGCUAGCCCUGUUUUCAUGCAGUCUAUGUGCUGGCAGCAGACUUUUUUAUGUAGGAUAUUCCAGUUCAACCUCAACGAAACUAAUCAUAGGCCAUUGUGUGGACAUUACACAAAUGAAAAAUGAUACCUAAAUAAUAAUAAUAAUAAUAAAAACAUUUUUUACACAAUUUGAUUUUUAUAUCAAAUUGUGUAAAAAUAUAAUUUUAGAGUGACGGCCCACCACUGGGUGUAGGUCAUUCGUACAAAUUCAUACGAAUUGUGCAACUCGUAAAAUAGCUACGUACGAAUUGCCGUGAGAUCGGGCUGUUUGUACUGUUAAGCUUUUAAUGCUGCAUUGCACAUCUGAGCUAUUUGCACUAUUUUAAUACUGCUGCAAACUUUUUUUAUAAUUAAUAAUCUUAUAUUCUAUUAUAUGUAUUAUAUUGUAUUUUAUAUUUUAAUUAUUACAUGUGUGGUUUGAUGUUUGUUCUUUUGUUACCAGCGGAAGAUCCAGAUGAGAUUGAUGUGAUUCCUGGGAGGAAGACCAGGGUUCUCAUUUAUAAACGUUGCGUACGCACAAAAUAGUCAUAGCAAUUGCGUAUGCAAUUUUUUAGGCACAUAAAGGGAUUUAUAAAAAAUAAACUUAGGCGUAAAUAUGUACGCACUGUACGCACAUUAUAAACCAUGCAUACGAACUCUUUUCAUAGAGUGAGAAAUUAAUGAAGUAAACAAUGAAGUGAGAAAAUUAAUGAAGUAAACAAUGAUUUUAAACUCUGUUUUCAUUUCGAUAUACACAUUUACAUUAAAUAUUCCACUCGCAUUAAAGGAGAUUAAUACUGAAAUCACAUAAUUUUACAAACAACAUAAUUGCAAAAUUUCAUUAACAAUAAACAUAAUUUUCCUGUGACAUGUUAAUUUUUAAUGACAGCGAGGAGUGCUAUAGGUGCACAAUAAUUAAUCUUUUAAACUAAACUACAGAUCACAUGUUAUGAGAAAUAUAUUAGCGAGAACAAUGAUUGAUGAUGCGCACUAUAUAAAUGAUAUUAUGGCGGACACUGCUGGAUUACUGUACAACCACAGCUGCACGGAGGUGUUAAUGUCGUGUCAUCUCUACAACAUUAUGAAAAAUUCCACUAUAUUUGAAAGGACAUAACUA